rnacentral:snRNA from 1 species
AUACUUACCUGGCAGAGGAGAUAGCAUGAUCACGAAGGCGGUUUUCCCAGGGUGAGGCUUACCUAUUGCACUCGUCUGUGCUGACCCCUGCGAUUUCCCAAAAUGUGGGAAACUGAACUGCAUAAUUUGUGGUAGUAUGGGACUGCAUUUGUGCUCUCUCCUG